rnacentral:lncRNA from 1 species
GGGACCUUUGGACCGAAAGGCUAUUUGGAUCCGGGUUCUGUUACCGAAAGACCCGACUCGUUGCCACCCUUACUCUCCACCCACUCACUGUGAUGAUGAACCCUGCGCGUUUCUCUUUAAAGCCCUUCCAUGACCAUAGCUUCUUGCAUUUAGAGAAAGAGAGAGAGAAACCAUUGAUUGUGCUUGUAGCGAGAGAAAGAGAGAGAGAGAGAGAGAAGAGAAAGAUGGAGUUCCCAUUUGGGCACCAGCAGCACCACCACCACCAUAGGAGCCAUGAAGAGAGAGAAGAGGAGAGGAACCCAAAUGAAGAAGAGCCAUACCAGAGACACCCUCCUGAGCCUCGCUUUGAAAGGCCCCCACCCCCUGAAUUCUCCCCAUUUGAGAGGCCUCCUCAACCUGCUUAUGAUCCAUAUGAAAGGCCUGUUACUGAUGAAUUUGGUAAUCCCUCAUUUCAAAGGCCUCGUCCUCCUCAACCUGCUUAUGAUCCAUAUGAAAGGCCUGUUACUGAUGAAUUUGGUGAUCCCUCAUUUCAAAGGCCUCCUCCUCCUGGUGAAUAUGGCGAGGAUCCAUAUCGGAG